rnacentral:rRNA from 1 species
UGGGGAAUAUUAGACAAUGGGGGAAACCCUGAUCUAGCAAUGCCGCGUGAAUGAAGAAGGCCUUAGGGUUGUAAAGUUCUUUCGCCUUUGAAGAUGAUGACUGUAGAAGGAUAAGAAGCACCGGCUAACUCCGUGCCAGCAGCCGCGGUAAUACGGAGGGUGCAAGCGUUGUUCGGAAUUACUGGGCGUAAAGGGCGCGUAGGCGGUCUUUUAAGUUAGGCGUGAAAGCCCCAGGCUCAACCUGGGAACUGCGCUUAAUACUGAAGGACUUGAGUGCGAGAGGGGAAAGUGGAAUUCCUAGUGUAGAGGUGAAAUUCGUAGAUAUUAGGAAGAACACCGGUGGCGAAGGCGACUUUCUGGCUCGCAACUGACGCUGAGGCGCGAAAGCGUGGGGAGCAAACAGG